rnacentral:rRNA from 1 species
AGAGUUUGAUCCUGGCUCAGGGUUAACGCUGGCGGCGCGCAUAACACAUGCAAGUCGAGCGAGGGCUCAUUUCCCGCAAGGGAGAUGGGUUCCUAGCGGCGAACGGGUGAGUAACACGUGGGCAACCUUUCCUAUCGCGGGGGAUAACAGCGGGAAACCGCUGCUAAUACCGCAUGUCGUCAUCGGUCGCAUGGCCGGUGAAGAAAGCAGCAAUGCACGAUGGGGUGGGCCCGCGGCCUAUCAGCUAGUCGGUGGGGUAACGGCCUACCGAGGCGAUGACGGGUAGCUGGUCUGAGAGGACGACCAGCCACACGGGGACUGAGACACGGCCCCGACUCCUACGGGAGGCAGCAGUGAGGAAUCUUCCGCAAUGGGCGAAAGCCUGACGGAGCGACGCCGCGUGUGGGAUGAAGUCCUUCGGGAUGUAAACCACUGUUGGAGGGGAAGACUUCGACGGUACCCUCCGAGAAAGCCCCGGCUAACUACGUGCCAGCAGCCGCGGUAAUACGUAGGGGGCAAGCGUUAUCCAGAUUUACUGGGCGUAAAGCGCGUGUAGGCGGCUGGUUAAGUGUGACGUG